CCGGCACGGGUGAGUAACACGUAUGGAACCUGCCCUAUGCAGGGGGAUAAGCGGAAGAAAUUCCGUCUAAUACCGCAUAACACCAUUUGGAGACAUCUCCAGGGGGUCAAAGGAGGCGACUCCGGCAUAGGAUGGCCAUGCGUCGCAUUAGCUAGUCGGCGGGGUAACGGCCCACCGAGGCGACGAUGCGUAGGGGUUCUGAGAGGAAGGUCCCCCACACUGGUACUGAGACACGGACCAGACUCCUACGGAAGGCAGCAG
rnacentral:rRNA from 1 species